rnacentral:tRNA from 1 species
GGAUUAUUAGCUUAUUUGGUUAGAGCAUACUCCUGAUAAGAGUAAGGUUCUAGGUUCAAAUCUUAGAUAGUCCA